AAGUGCUCUAACAAUCGACCAUUGUUUACAUGAAUAUCAUAAAUUUCAUCUUGCUUAAAGUAAUUAUCAAAUGAUAAUGGGAAUAAUUUUGCUUUACCAUUAUCAAAAUUGAAUCCUUCUAAGUAUAGAAUAGGCUCAUCAGUACCAUCAGGUUGUA
rnacentral:sRNA from 1 species